AGAACAAAAAAACGGUAAGAAGGCAAAACGAUUAGCAAGUAGCAUAAGUCCAAAGAAGAAACACCAAAUCUGAAUCGAGAAGCUCAGGGUAUGUGCAUCGGCGUAUGCAUCGACCGUCCUUCGUAAUUAAAGGAUUUAAUUUAAAUGUAUACGCAGGUUCAUUCUUUGCCAUUCCUUUGAUUCGGUGGUUUUCAAUCAAGAGAAAGAA